UACGGGGGGAGCAAGCGUUGUUCGGAUUUACUGGGCGUAAAGGGCGCGUAGGCGGCCAGCACAGGUCAGUUUUGAAAUCUCCGAGCUUAACUCGGAAAGGUCAACUGAUACUGUGCGGCUAGAGUGCGGAAGGGGCAACUGGAAUUCUUGGUGUAGCGGUGAAAUGCGUAGAGAUCUCCAAGAACACCCGUUGCGAAGGCGGCUAGCUGGGUUCACAUUGACGCUGAGGCUCGAAAGCGUGGGGAGCAAACAGG
rnacentral:rRNA from 1 species